CUCAGCAACCCAGUGUAUGGGUGAAGGUGUCAGUCUGCCUGCAUACUGCUACAUGGUUCUUGUUUUGAAGCAGCUAGUUCCUUAUGAGAGCACAAAACUGGGAAGGAGUUCCUGGGUCACCAAAUCCUAUUUCUCAAUAUCUUCAAGAAGUGCUUAAAAAGGAUAAGAAAUGAGAAUAAGUGGCUUCACAGGGAUCUGCAGAUUACCUUCCAGUCUCACCUGAGGGUAGCUCACCAUGAUCAUUGCUUGUCUGACUGGAGGCUUCAGAGGAGUCACAAGUAUAGGUAAUACACACAAUUCUGUUUUCAGAUUAAAUUUCCUCUUUAUA